AAAGUCGUAACAAGGUUUCCGUAGGUGAACCUGCGGAAGGAUCAUUACCAAUCCAAAAAAACUUAUACACCUGUGCACUUUGGGAUGUCUUUAGGGGAUUUGAAGUGUUCAUCUCUUAGGCUUCUAAACGGAUGAUUCGUCAGAAGUUUCUAAGCUGUUUGACGAGAUUGAAUUGCUUUGUCCCCGCAUGUAUUAAACAACUUGUUUAAACCAAAACUUUUUAUUUUCAUUUUGUCUGACUUUUGUCAACGAAAUGUAAAAAAACAAAAAUCAAAUACAACUUUUAGCGGUGGAUCUCUUGGCUCAU
rnacentral:misc_RNA from 1 species